GAGUUGGCUAGAAGGGCUAUUUAUCAUGCUACAUUCCGAGAUGGAGCCAGUGGUGGAGUUGCUAGCGUUUAUUAUGUGGGACCGAAUGGAUGGAAGAAGCUAUCUGGCGAUGAUGUUGGAGAACUCCACUAUAAAUACUAUCCGGUUAUGCCCAGCACAGUGGAACAGGAGAUGGUUGAAGUAUCAGGGGCAUGAGAAAACCUUGAUCAGGUUGGACUAGAUUGGAUACUCUUCCCCUCUUCAUGGUAUCUGAUAGAGAUGGCGUGCAAUGCAUCUUAUGUACUUGAAACCACUAACUAUUGGUGUUCUUCAGUUUAUUCCUGGAACAA
rnacentral:misc_RNA from 1 species